ACGAGGGGUGCAAGCGUUAAUCGGAAUUACUGGGCGUAAAGCGUUCGUAGGCGGUUUGUUAAGCAAGAUGUGAAAGCCCCGGGCUCAACCUGGGAACUGCAUUUUGAACUGGCAAACUAGAAUACUGUAGAGGGUGGUGGAAUUUCCAGUGUAGCGGUGAAAUGCGUAGAGAUUGGAAGGAACAUCAGUGGCGAAGGCGACCACCUGGACAGAUAUUGACGCUGAGGAACGAAAGCGUGGGGAGCGAACAGG
rnacentral:rRNA from 1 species